UCAUUUAGAGGAAGUAAAAGUCGUAACAAGGUCUCCGUAGGUGAACCUGCGGAGGGAUCAUUACACAAAUAUGAAGGCGGGCUGGAACCUCUAGGGGUUACAGCCUUGCAGAAUUAUUCACCCUUGUCUUUUGCGUACUUCUUGUUUCCUUGGUGGGUUCGCCCACCACUAGGACAAACAUAAACCUUUGUAAUUGCAAUCAGCGUCAGUAACAAAUUAAUAAUUACAACUUUCAACAACGGAUCUCUUGGUUCUGGCAUCGAUGAAGAACGCAGCGAAAUGCGAUAAGUAGUGUGAAUUGCAGAAUUCAGUGAAUCAUCGAAUCUUUGAACGCACAUUGCGCCCUUUGGUAUUCCAAAGGGCAUGCCUGUUCGAGCGUCAUUUGUACCCUCAAGCUUUGCUUGGUGUUGGGCGUCUUGUCUCUAGCUUUGCUGGAGACUCGCCUUAAAGUAAUUGGCAGCCGGCCUACUGGUUUCGGAGCGCAGCACAAGUCGCACUCUCUAUCAGCAAAGGUCUAGCAUCCAUUAAGCCUUUUUUUCAACUUUUGACCUCGGAUCAGGUAGGGAUACCCGCUGAACUUAAGCAUAUCAAUAAG
rnacentral:rRNA from 1 species